CAGCAGCCGCGGGAAUACGAAGGGUGCAAGCGUUACUCGGAAUUACUGGGCGUAAAGCGCGCGUAGGUGGUUCAUUAAGUUGGAUGUGAAAGCCCUGGGCUCAACCUGGGAACUGCAUCCAAAACUGGUGAGCUAGAGUACGGUAGAGGGUAGUGGAAUUUCCUGUGUAGCGGUGAAAUGCGUAGAUAUAGGAAGGAACACCAGUGGCGAAGGCGACUACCUGGUCCAUUACUGACGCUGAGGUGCGAAAGCGUGGGGAGCAAACAGGAUUAGAUACCCCUGUAGUCCCUGUCUCUUAUAC
rnacentral:rRNA from 1 species